rnacentral:rRNA from 1 species
AGUUGCGAUCAUACCAGCACUAAUGCACCGGAUCCCAUCAGAACUCCGCAGUUAAGCGUGCUUGGGCGAGAGUAGUACUAGGAUGGGUGACCCCCUGGGAAGUCCUCGUGUUGCAACCCC